AAACAGCCUUCUAUGUAUUGGAUCUUUGGCAGUUUUGGCCCCCAAUGCCACUUUUGACUUAGUCUUCGCUGACGUGGCACCCACAUCCCUUAAGUGAGGUGCCACGUGUCGACCAUUGUGAAUGUCACGUCAGCGAAAGCGAAGACUAAGUCAAAAGUGGCAUUUGGGGCUAAAACUGCCAAAAAUCCAAUACAUAGGGGGCUCUAUU
rfam:Medicago truncatula strain A17 chromosome 4, whole genome shotgun sequence.